rnacentral:rRNA from 1 species
AUUGAACGCUGGCGGUAUGCUUAAGACAUGCAAGUCGAACGGUAACAGGUUAAGCUGACGAGUGGCGGACGAGUGAGUAACGCGUGGGAAUCUACCUUGUAGUGGGGGAUAAGCCAGGGAAACUUGGACUAAUACCGCAUACGCCCUAAGGGGGAAAGGCGCAAGUCGCUAUAAGAUGAGCCCGCGUCUGAUUAGGUAGUUGGUGGGGUAAAGGCCUACCAAGCCGACGAUCAGUAGCUGGUCUGAGAGGAUGAUCAGCCACACUGGGACUGAGACACGGCCCAGACUCCUACGGGAGGCAGCAGUGGGGAAUUUUGGACAAUGGGCGCAAGCCUGAUCCAGCCAUGCCGCGUGCGGGAAGAAGGCCUUCGGGUUGUAAACCGCUUUAGUCCGGAAAAAGGGUGCGAGGAGUAAUACCCUCGUGCUUUGAUGGUACUGGAAGAAUAAGCACCGGCUAACUACGUG